rnacentral:rRNA from 1 species
GAUGAACGCUAGCGGCAGGCCUAACACAUGCAAGUCGAGGGGUAGAACACUUCGGUGUUUGAGACCGGCGCACGGGUGCGUAACGCGUAUGCAAUCUGCCUUACACUAAGGGAUAGCCCAGAGAAAUUUGGAUUAAUACCUUAUAGUAUAUUGAUGUGGCAUCACAUUAUUAUUAAAGAUUUAUCGGUGUAAGAUGAGCA